AUUGAACGCUAGCGGGAUGCUUUACACAUGCAAGUCGAACGGCAGCGCGGACUUCGGUCUGGCGGCGAGUGGCGAACGGGUGAGUAAUGUAUCGGAACGUGCCCAGUAGCGGGGGAUAACUACGCGAAAGCGUAGCUAAUACAGCAUACGCCCUACGGGGGAAAGCAGGGGUUCGUAAGACCUUGCACUAUUGGAGCGGCCGAUAUCGGAUUAGCUAGUUGGUGAGGUAACGGCUUACCAAGGCGACGAUCCGUAGCUGGUUUGAGAGGACGACCAGCCACACUGGGACUGAGACACGGCCCAGACUCCUACGGGAGGCAGCAGUGGGGAAUUUUGGGCAAUGGGGGCAACCCUGAUCGAGCAAUCCCGCGUGUGCGAUGAAGGCCUUCGGGUUGUAAAGCACUGUUGGCAGGAAAGAAACGACGCGGACGAAUACACCGUGGAACUGACGGUACCUGCAGAAUAAGCACCGGCUAACUACGUG
rnacentral:rRNA from 1 species